UGAGGGAAUAUUUGGGUCAAUGGGGCGGGGAGCCUGAACCAGCCAAGUCGCGUGAGGGAGGAAGGUCCUACGGAUUGUAAACCUCUUUAGCCGGGGAGCAACGUGCGCCACGUGUGGCGCAGUGAGAGUACCCGGAGAAUAAGCACCGGCAAACUCCGUGCCAGCAGCCGCGGUAAUACGGAGGGUGCGAGCGUUAAUCGGAAUGACUGGGCGUAAAGGGCACGCAGGUGGCGAGAUAAGUUGGAUGUGAAAUUCCCGUGCUUAACAUGGGGACUGCAUCCAAAACUGUUGAACUGGGGUACUGUAGAGGGAGGUAGAAUUCCACGUGUAGCGGUGAAAUGCGUAGAGAUGUGGAAGAAUACCAGAGGCGAAGGCGGCCUCCUGGGCAGAUACUGACACUGAGGUGCGAAAGCGUGGGUAGCAAACAGGAUUAGAUACCCUGGUAGU
rnacentral:rRNA from 1 species